UAAUUGAUUCCUUGUUU
rnacentral:miRNA from 1 species